UGAGGAGGAAGGGCACUGUGUUGGAGCUGAGAUAUCCUGUUUUCCUCUUGGUUUACAAAGAAAACUCAGUGUCGAGGGAGCUGAAGACUGGGAUGUGCUGGGCUAAUACAAAUUUAACUGAAGCCAAGAAUGCCCCUGGCUUGGCUCUGCAAAGAGUACUAAGCAGCCAAGGACAUUUGGAAGGCCAAAUCCAAACCAGUACGGUCUUUUGCUGAGCCUGUUCCCUGCUUCUGUGAGGCCAAUGCUGACCCCAGUGAGACAAUUGGAGAAAUAAGAAACAGAAAAACAAAACAGAAGAAAAUGGAAAAGACUGCUGUGGAAAGAAAAGCUCCAUUUUAUUCAGUCUUAAGCAUGACAAAGAAAAAAAAUG